CCUACGGGUGGCUGCAGUGGGGAAUAUUGCACAAUGGGCGCAAGCCUGAUGCAGCCAUGCCGCGUGUGUGAAGAAGGCCUUCGGGUUGUAAAGCACUUUCAGCGGGGAGGAAGGCGUUAAGGUUAAUAACCUUGUCGAUUGACGUUACCCGCAGAAGAAGCACCGGCUAACUCCGUGCCAGCAGCCGCGGUAAUACGGAGGGUGCAAGCGUUAAUCGGAAUUACUGGGCGUGAAGCGCACGCAGGCGGUCUGUCAAGUCGGAUGUGAAAUCCCCGGGCUCAACCUGGGAACUGCAUUCGAAACUGGCAGGCUAGAGUCUUGUAGAGGGGGGUAGAAUUCCAGGUGUAGCGGUGAAAUGCGUAGAGAUCUGGAGGAAUACCGGUGGCGAAGGCGGCCCCCUGGACAAAGACUGACGCUCAGGUGCGAAAGCGUGGGGAGCAAACAGGAUUAGAUACCCGUGUAGUC
rnacentral:rRNA from 1 species